rnacentral:lncRNA from 1 species
CCAUCUUUAAGGAGAUUGACUUUUAUCCCACUAUGAUAACUACAAUGAUAAGGAAUCAUAUUCUAAUUCGGGGACAGGGCAAUAAGGAGGUGUAAUCUACUAUAAAUACACGGCUAUACCUUAAUUAACAAGUAACACACAUAACAACUCAUUGAGCACUAAAACAAUUAGCCUUCAUUGUUAAUCUAUUCUCCGGCCUAUACUUAUUCUCACACCAGAGUUAUCCCCCGACAAUUUGGCCAUCAGGCUCCUCAUAGAGUUUACUAGUUUUUGUGCAGAAUUUGACGCGUUGUUUGGUGAUUGGGUGCGUUGACGGAUUUUGGCGUUAACACCGACUUAAUCAUUUAAAUAUACAAAAAAUUUCAUUUACCAACUAAAUCAUUUACAUAAACCUAGUAAAUAAAAAUCCAAAUACAGAAAUACAGAGAGAUAAAAUAAAAGCAGAGUACAGAUUGACCAAUUCCCGCCGCCGACGUGAUCCCUGUUGCUCAUGCAAAGGUUGAUGGCGGUGUUUUUGCUGCAAUUACUACUAUUGUAAGCGAUGUUGAAGGUACGACAUUAACAUCGCCUUCGCCGAUCGACUGCUAUUGCUUUUGUUGUUUUGGAAGUGAAUAACCAAAAAAUUCUGCUAAUUUGACUCUGAGUUUAUGAAAGAAUUUCAAGAACCGUAACAUCAAAUUACAACAAAGAAUUAAGGAUUUUCUCGAAAAAAGACGUGAGGGAUGAAGAGGAAGAGACCGAUUAAAUUUGUAAUAAGGAGCACGAAAGAGAAUACGUCAAUUGUUAGAUCGAAUUCGUGUGACAACCCAAGUUAACU